rnacentral:rRNA from 1 species
CCUACGGGAGGCAGCAGUGGGGAAUAUUGGACAAUGGGGGGAACCCUGAUCCAGCGACGCCGCGUGAGUGAAGAAGUAUUUCGGUAUGUAAAGCUCUAUCAGCAGGGAAGUAAAUGACGGUACCUGACUAAGAAGCCCUGGCACACUACGUGCCAGCAGCCGCGGUAAUACGUAGGGGGCAAGCGUUAUCCGGAUUUACUGGGUGUAAAGGGAGCGUAGACGGUGCAGCAAGUCUGAUGGGAAAGGUCGGGGCCCAACCCCGGGAAUGCAUUGGAGACUGUUGAACUGGGGUACAGGAGAGGUAAGCGGAAUUCCUAGGGUAGCGGUGGAAUGCGUAGAUAUUAGGAGGAACACCAGUGGCGAAGGCGGCUUACUGGACUGUAACUGACGUUGAGGCUCGAAGGCGUGGGGAGCGAACAGGAUUAGAUACCCUUGUAGUC